rnacentral:rRNA from 1 species
AACGAACGCUGGCGGCAUGCCUAACACAUGCAAGUCGAACGAGACCUUCGGGUCUAGUGGCGCACGGGUGCGUAACGCGUGGGAACCUGCCCUUAGGUUCGGAAUAACUCCCCGAAAGGGGUGCUAAUACCGGAUAAUGUCUUCGGACCAAAGAUUUAUCGCCUUUGGAUGGGCCCGCGUUGGAUUAGCUAGUUGGUAGGGUAAAAGCCUACCAAGGCGACGAUCCAUAGCUGGUCUGAGAGGAUGAUCAGCCACACUGGGACUGAGACACGGCCCAGACUCCUACGGGAGGCAGCAGUGGGGAAUAUUGGACAAUGGGCGAAAGCCUGAUCCAGCAAGGCCGCGGGAGUGAUGAAGGCCUUAGGGUGGUAAAGCUCUUUUACCCGGGAUGAUAAUGACAGUACCGGGAGAAUAAGCUCCGGCUAACUCCGU